AAAAAUGUGAUGAGCCACUUGUCUCUGGACUCCCCCAUGUGGCUUUCAGCAGCUCCUCCUCCAUCUCUGGUAGCUAUUCUCCCGGCUAUGCCAAGAUAAACAAGAGAGGAGGUGCUGGGGGAUGGUCUCCAUCAGACAGCGACCAUUAUCAAUGGCUUCAGGUUGACUUUGGCAAUCGGAAGCAGAUCAGUGCCAUUGCAACCCAAGGAAGGUAUAGCAGCUCAGAUUGGGUGACCCAAUACCGGAUGCUCUACAGCGACACAGGGAGAAAUUGGAAACCCUAUCAUCAAGAUGGGAAUAUCUGGGCAUUUCCUGGAAACGUUAACUCUGAUGGUGUGGUCCGGCACGAAUUACAGCAUCCGAUUAUUGCCCGCUAUGUGCGCAUAGUGCCUCUGGAUUGGAAUGAAGAAGGUCGCAUUGGACUCAGAGUUGAAGUUUACGGCUGUUCUUACUGGGCUGAUGUUAUCAACUUUGAUGGCCAUGUUGUAUUACCAUAUAGAUUCAGAAACAAGAAGAUGAAAACACUGAAAGAUGUCAUUGCCUUGAAAUUUAAGACGUCUGAAAGUGAAGGAGUAAUCUUGCACGGAGAAGGACAGCAAGGAGAUUACAUUACCUUGGAACUGAAAAAAGCCAAGCUGGUCCUCAGUUUAAACUUAGGAAGUAACCAGCUUGGCCCCAUAUAUGGCCACACAUCAGUGAUGACAGGAAGUUUGCUGGAUGACCACCACUGGCACUCUGUGGUCAUUGAGCGCCAGGGACGGAGCAUUAACCUCACUCUGGACAGGAGCAUGCAGCACUUCCGUACCAAUGGAGAGUUUGACUACCUGGACUUGGACUAUGAGAUAACCUUUGGAGGCAUCCCUUUCUCUGGCAAGCCCAGCUCCAGCAGUAGAAAGAAUUUCAAAGGCUGCAUGGAAAGCAUCAACUACAAUGGCAUCAACAUUACUGAUCUUGCCAGAAGGAAGAAAUUAGAGCCCUCAAAUGUGGGAAAUUUGAGCUUCUCUUGUGUGGAACCCUAUACGGUGCCUGUCUUUUUCAAUGCUACAAGUUACCUGGAGGUGCCUGGACGGCUUAACCAGGACCUGUUCUCAGUCAGUUUCCAGUUUAGGACAUGGAACCCCAAUGGUCUCCUGGUCUUCAGUCACUUUGCGGAUAAUUUGGGCAAUGUGGAGAUUGACCUCACUGAAAGCAAAGUGGGUGUUCACAUCAACAUCACACAGACCAAGAUGAGCCAAAUCGAUAUUUCCUCAGGUUCUGGGUUGAAUGAUGGACAGUGGCACGAGGUUCGCUUCCUAGCCAAGGAAAAUUUUGCUAUUCUCACCAUCGAUGGAGAUGAAGCAUCAGCAGUUCGAACUAAUAGUCCUCUUCAAGUUAAAACUGGCAAGAAGUACUUUUUUGGAGGUUUUCUGAACCAGAUGAAUAACUCAAGUCACUCUGUCCUUCAGCCUUCAUUCCAAGGAUGCAUGCAGCUCAUUCAAGUGGACGAUCAACUUGUAAAUUUAUACGAAGUGGCACAAAGGAAGCCGGGAAGUUUUGCGAAUGUCAGCAUUGACAUGUGUGCGAUCAUAGACAGAUGUGUGCCCAAUCACUGUGAGCAUGGUGGAAAGUGCUCGCAAACAUGGGACAGCUUCAAAUGCACUUGUGAUGAGACAGGAUACAGUGGGGCCACCUGCCACAACUGAGCGGUCCAGCUGUGACUCAGCUGCAUCAAAUUUAUGUCUUCUGAAAUUAAGACACCUGGAUUUGUUUGCUAAACUCUAUUAAAAAACUACUCAGUGAGGAAUCUCUUGAUUUUGCACCAUUCACAGGAAGAAAUUCUGAAAGUUGAAUUAUUGGUUCCUGUAUUUUUUAUUUUUUAUUUUAUUUUUUAUAAAAUCAUGAUAAACAGAACUCUUGCUUCAUUCAUUUUGUUGUUGCUGUUGCUGCAUUUGGCUUUUCUUCCUCCUUUCCUCUCCCUCUUGGCAAAAGAAUGCUACAAAAAUAUAAAGAUUGUUGUAAUCUGGGGCGAAAUUAUCCAUCCACCUAAAUAAUCUCCUCCUGUUAUCUUUGAUGAAUAUGUCUAACACCAUUAAUAAGCAAUAGUUUCUUAUCAAAAAUGCAGCAGUUUCCAAGAAAAUUUUGAUGCUUGACUUUUGGGGUAUUCUCUCAUCUGACUUCUUUCACAUGUUUGUGAAAUCGUUGAUUUGGAAAUCUUUAGACUUAGCCAAUAAAAGU
rnacentral:sRNA from 1 species